rnacentral:rRNA from 1 species
AUUCAAAUUUCUGCCCUAUCAACUUUCGAUGGUAAGGUAUUGGCUUACCAUGGUUUCAACGGGUAACGGGGAAUAGGGUUCGAUUCCGGAGAGGGAGCCUGAGAAACGGCUACCACAUCCAAGGAAGGCAGCAGGCGCGCAAAUUACCAAUCCCGACACGGGGAGGUAGUGACAAUAAAUACUGAUAUAGGGCUCUUUUGGGUCUUGUAAUUGGAAUGAGUACAAUUUAAACCCCUUAACGAGGAACAAUUGGAGGGCAAGUCUGGUGCCAGCAGCCGCGGUAAUUCCAGCUCCAAUAGCGUAUAUUAAAGUUGUUGCAGUUAAAAAGCUCGUAGUUGAAACUUGGGUCUGGCUAGCGGGUCCGCCUCACCGCGUGCACUUGUCCGGCUGGACCUUUCCUUCUGGAGAACCUCAUGCCCUUCACUGGGUGUGUUGGGGAACCAGGACUUUUACUUUGCAAAAAAAUUAGAGUGUUCAAAGCAGGCCUUUGCUCGAAUACGUUAGCAUGGAAUAAUAGAAUAGGACCGUGCGGCCUAUUUGUGGGUUUCUAGGAUCGCCGUAAUGAUUAAUAGGGAUAGUCGGGGGCAUCCGUAUUCAAUUGUCAGAGGUGAAUUCUUGGUUUUAUUGG